rnacentral:lncRNA from 1 species
GACAGUGAAGAGAGUAGGAAGGGGAUAGUAGCAAUUAGGAGAUUGUAACAAAUUUAUGCAAAUCAGAAAUAAGAUGGAGAGGUGUUGACGUGGCUCAAACAGAGCAAGCAAGGGCAGCCCAGCGUCUACAGGAGGGAAUUACAGAGAGAAGAAAGCUGACCUUCCAGCCAAAGGCAAAACAGUUACAGGCCCAGGAUCAGCAGCACUGCACUACCGUGGAUAAUCCCUGUGCGAGUCCAUCAUCCAACUGGAGCUUAUGACUGACCAGACCAACGUAAUACUGCAGAAGUGAUACUACGUGACUUCCAUGGUCGUGUCAUU